rnacentral:lncRNA from 1 species
UCACAAUUCACGUGUACACAGAUAUGAAACGGACUGGUAAAUAUAAAUAUAUAUAUAUAUAUUAUUUUUCUGUCAACUUCGCUUCAUCCAAAAUAAGACUAAGGGACUUGAAAAUAAUUCUAUCUUCUUCUUUUCCUAUUUUCACUUUUAUUUCCUUCCAAACUUAUUGUUACAUGUAUAUAUAUAUUAUUACAUAUACGUAUAUAUACCUCAGUGUGUGUGUGUGAUUGCGUUGUGUGUGCGCGCGUAUGUAUUAUGCUGUAUGCGUACGUGUGUUUUGGAGUCGGUGUAGGGGGUGGUGGAAAAGAAGAACGUGUUAUAGAUGUUAUUUCGUAUAUAAUGGAAAUGUUUGUGUUUGUGUUGUUAGUGGGUCGACAUUAUGUAAUCAGUGUUGUCGUUUAGGUAGCUUUCUAAUGUUGACAGUGUUCCGAAGCCUCUGUACGGCUCCACCGCCGCCGCACAAGGCCAGGGUUUUUUUGUCUUUGUUGUUUGGCGAAACACCGUAGAUAAACAAACAUUCGCCUCUCCAUUAUAUUUUAAGACACUAAAGAAACGGUGUAUUUUUUUCAACUUUGUUAUUUCGCCCCUUUUCUUUUCUUUUUUUUUUCUUUUUUACUUUUCUUUUCUUGUCUUUGGUGGCUCAGUGGUGGUUGUGGUGGUGGUGGUGGUGGUGGCUGUGGUGGUGGUGGUGGUGGUGGUUCGUGGGUGGACGUUUGAUUCUUUGCCUUUGUUUCUUUCUCAAACGACUGAUUGAAUUUAAUUUUUUUUUUUUUUAAAUUCAAUAAUUUUUUUUUUUUUAAAUUUUAAUUUAAUAAUGGAUCUUAUUAAAAAAUUUUUUUAAUUCAAAAAAAGAAUAAUAAUAUUGAUCAUAAUAAUAAUAAUAAUAAUAAUAAUAAUAAUAAUAAUAAUGAUAAUAAUAAUAAGCUACAAUGUGACAAGGCAGUUUGGUUUAGUUAAUUAAAAAAAAUUUUCUGAAAAAGAACCUUCCUUAAAUAUUUAAUAUUUAAAAUGACAUAAGCCUGUAACAUGACAUGCGUUAGUAACACGGGGCAUGUAACACACGCGUGACGCCUUUCUCGACGGCAUGGCCAUUUGGCUAGUUGUCAUUUCUUAUUUAACGAACCACUCUCUCCUCUCUCUCUAUCUCUCUCUUUCUGUUUCUCUUUCUCUCUGUGUCUCUCUCUUUCUCUCUCUCCCUCUCUUUCAUUCUAUCUCUCACCCCGCCGCCUUCAAGAAUUUCUCACACAUCGAACUCUUCCACGCACAUACACGCUCUCUCUCUCUGAAUAAUAAACCCUUUGGCAUUAUACGGCACCACCAACAACACUUCGUCACUGCCACAUUUCUCUUUUCCAUCUUUCACUUCUGCUUCCAGAAACAAUACUGUUUCAUAAUAACGUAUAUUCUGAUAGAUUUAUAGAUUCUAAAAACUCCCUUUUAUUCUUCUUCUUAUAAUAAGUUUGAUUUUUUUUUUCCCCCGUUAUUUUCUGUACUUGUCCAUAAUAUUACAGCUAAAAAUCACACAUGCACACAUACAGAAGAUGAAAAAUAACAAAUACAAACUACCACAGUUUCUUUCUAGGAAUUCCUUUAUUUAGGCGGAAUAUUUCUACAUUUAGGGAGAAAAAGUGGAUAAUAGGAACGAAGGAGAAAAAAGGAAAAAUCAACGUUCCCUUUUGGGUCCAUUUUGAAAUUGUAAUUGUUACUUACAUCAGUUUGGGGAUAAUAUUAUAUUCAAUUUGAUUUUUUUUUUUUCCUUUAAAGUGAAAAUGGAAAAAGGAAUUUUUCCUAAGAAUUAUAAUCUGCCAUUUUAAAAUUGAAAUGAAUUUCAUACAUAUAUAUAUAUAUAUGUGUGUGUGUGUGUUUGUAUCUAUUAUGUAUAUAUAUAUAUGUAUUGUUUUUAUUUAUGUGUAUACAUGAGUUUGUUUGUUUCAAGUUAUUGAAAAUUGCUAAUCGUUAUCGCUUUGAAGUAUUUUUAUAGGUGUUUCAGCGAAUGUAUACACACGCGAGCAUGUAUAUAUGAGUGUGUAUACAUGCGUGUAUUUGUAUGUGUGUGUGUGUGUGUGUGUGUAUGAGAGAGCGAGAGAGGGACAGAGAGAGAAAGAGGGAGAUCUGUGUUUAAGGGAGAGAAAGAAAUAGAUGAAGAGAGAAGUGGUGAUGGUAGUGGGGGGGGCAGGAGAGGAUUUUUCCGAGGGAGAGAGAGAGAAAAGAAUGAAGAUAGAGCGGGGGGGGGGUUAAAAAAGGGGGGGUAGAUAGAGAGUAAAAGAGACAAAACAGGGAAGUCGAAAUUAAAGAAGACAAGGCAGUAGAAGGAGAAGGAGGAGUAGGAGGAGGAGGAGGUGAAGGAAAAGUAAGAGGAGGAGAAGGAAGAGUAGGAGAGUUGGAUGGGAGGGAAAGUCGAAGUAAGGAAAAGAGAAAGAAAAUAUGCAAAUAUAAAAUGUUGUAAUAGUUUAGUGUUUUUCCUUUUUGUUUCAUACCCUUAUAGAUUUAUAGAUAAAAGAGGGCAAGGUUACAUUAUAUAGAAACACACACAUACAAACAUACCUACAUACAUACAUAUAUAUACACGCAUGACAAAUCUUUCACUCUAUAAUAGAUACAUAUUACAUAUGUUUAUAUAUUAUAUUAUAUGUAACAUAUAUAUGAAUAUAUAUAUAUAUAAAUAUAUAUUUAUAUGUAUAUAUGUAUGUAGGUGUAUAUAUACUCGCGUACAUACACAAAUUGAUACAAUGACACGCGCACGUAUAUAUGAGUUACAUAUUACAUCAUGUUUAUUUAUUUAUAAAAUGUUAUAUAAGUGUGUGAUGUUUGCAUGCGUAUGUUUGUAUAGUAUGUGCUACACAGCUAAGCACGAAGACAUGCAUGUGUGUGUGUGUAUGAGUGUGUGUGUGUGUGUGUGUGUGUGUGUGUGUGUGUGUGUGUGUGUGUAUACAUGCAUGUAACUAUAUACCUAUGCAAUUAUUAUAUAUCUAUGACAAAAUGUGUGUAAUAUACCUCACUGAAUUUAUUGUAUACCGUGUCCGUGCAAAUCAUUUAUACCUAUAUAUGUAUAUAUAUAUAAUAUAUAUAUAUAUAUAUAUAUAUAUAUAUAUAUAUAUAUAUAUAUAUGCAUAUAUACAUUACAUAUAUAUAUAUAUAUAUAUAAUAUAUACACACAUGUUUACAUAUAAUUUAUAUAAAACUUAGAUUGAUAUAGAUUUAAAGUUAUGUGCAAUACCUGUAUAUGCACACACAAAUGUAUGUAUGUAUGUAUGUAUAUACAUAUAUAUAUAUAUAUAUAUAUAUACUAAAAUAUAUCUAUCUAUAUACAUACGUAGAUAGAUAUGUAUAUAUAUCUAUAUACAUACAUACAAACAUGUACAUACGUAUGUAUAUAAAUAAAUAUAUGUAUAUAUGUACAUAUAUAUAUGUAUGUAUAUAAAUAUAUAUUUAUAUAUAUAUAUAUAUAUGCAUACAUAUAUGUAUAUUAAGUAUAUACACGUUUAUAUGUAUAUAUAUAUGUAAGUAUAUAUAAAUAUGUAUGUAUAUAUACAUGCAUGUACAUAUACAUGUAUGUAUAUAUAUGUAUGUACAUAUGUACGUAGGCAUUAAAUAUAUAUAAACAGAAUCGAGAGAGAGUGGUAAUUUCCAUCGGGAAGUGAGGUGACAGAAAGAAUACAAAAAAAAAACAUUACUGUGAAGAGUGGGAAAUCCGACGUUUCGGGGAGCGUCUCUUCUUCAGGUUUUUAAAAUGAUUGACGGAAAAUAGAAAGGCAGAGAAUAUUAACAUACGCAUACACAUGUGUGUGUGUAAUUAAUCGUAGGGUAUGUACCGGGUUGCUUACCGGUAAAGUACGUUCACUUUCACAGUGUACCUUGUGCAUUUCGUUGACGUGAGAGACGGAGGAUGGAAGAUACGAGAAUUUCUAUUAAUCACUGCGAUUGUUUCGACCCACCUAACAUCGACCUCUCUCAUUAACCAAAUAUAUAUCGAUGCUCCAGCAUGGCCGCAGUCAAAUGACUAGAACAAGUAACAGAGAAAAGUGAAAGAAUAUAUAUAUAUAUAUAUUUAUAUUACCAAGGUAUAUGUUAUAUACAUGCAUACAUAUACAUAUAUAUACAUACAUGUACACACACACACACACACACACACACACAUAUAUAUAUAUAUAUAUAUAUACACACGCAAAGUAAGUUUAUUUGUUCUUGUUUAUAUACUUACAUAAGAAUACAUCUUAGUAUGUCUAUUUAUAAUUUUGUGACUAACAAAACGAUGGUUAUGACUUAAUUAAACUCAAUCAAUAUUCUAGAUGCUUUUUUUUAUGCACUACAGUUCGGGUGAUGUAUUAUUCAAACGUCUUCAUGUGAUAUAUAUAUAUAUAUAUAUAUAUAUAUAUAUAUACAUACAUAUAUACAGAGAGAGAGAGAGAGAGAGAGAGAACAAGAGAUGGGCAAUUUUGUAUCCUUGAGUCGUAUUUGAUGACAGUUGUAAGGUCCCGAAAGCUCUUAUCCGUCAACAUAUUUGUGACAUAUCUAUCUUAUGGAUGGUCUUCUGUGUAUUUAGAUGAUAGCAAAGGAUUUCCAGUUCAAUCCUUGCCAAAGAAUUGUGUAUAUGUGUUGAAAUAUACCACCUGCAGAUGAUCAAAGAAUAUACCCACAGAAAUAUAGUCUAAAUAGAUACUCUUAAUAAAGUUCACACACACUAACACUUUUUGUAUGUGUGUGUGUGUAUAUAUAUACACACAAACAUGACUAAGCACAUCAAUGCAAAACAAGGUAGAUAAAAUAGUACUCGAAUACCAAAGGUAGAGUAAUAUGCUCUUUGUAUUAAAGGUGUAUAUUAACAUCACAAGAAACUGUUACUCAGAGUUUCACGUUUCCCUUCGUAUGCAGAUAUAUAAAAUAUAGUAUCUGAGUCGCAUUCAUGUAAUAGUACAUAAUCUAUACUUUAGUGAAUAAGUAUGGGAGUAUAUAUACAUAUGUGUGUGUGUCUGAAUGCGUAUACAUAUGUGUGUGUAUACAUAUAUGUAUAUAUAUAUAUAUGUGUGUGUAUAUAUAUAUGGAUCUUUUCUCCUGGCCACGAUAAUGAAAAGAUCCUAUAUAUAUAUAUAUAUAUAUAUCAUACAUAUUGAUAUAUGUAUGAAAGUAUUCUGUGCACAUGUUCAUAUAUAUAUAUACACACACACACACAAACACAUAUAUAUAUAUAUACAUAUACAUACACAUAAAGAAAUAUACAUAUCACUUAAUACACGUGUAUCUUCAUAUGUUUGUACUUUUAUAUACUUGUACACACACACACACACACACACAUAUAUAUAUAUAUAUACACGGUACUACACACGCCCACAUACACAUACAUAUACGCAUGCCGUUCGUACCCACUCACACACGCGCACACACACAAACACUCAGACACACUUAUAUACAUAUAUGUAUGAAUGUACGUGUGUGUGUGUGUGUGUGUGUGUAUGCACGUAUUCCAUGCAUGUAAACAUGCAUGACUUAACCUAUAACUGUAUCGAAUUCAAAUUCAUGAACAUUAUGUAGUUAUUAUAUACACCCGUUUAAAUAUAAGCAUAUAUAUAUAUAUAUAUAUAUAUAUAUAUAUAAUUGUUAAUCAAUUGUUAAUUAAUUGUUUAAUUAAUUAAUAUGGUCCUUUUAUAUAUAUAUAUAUAUAUAUAUAUAUAUAUAUAUAUAUAUAUAUAUACACCUAUGUUUGUAUGUAUAUUUAUAUAUAUACAUAUACUUGUUUGUAUAUGUAUGUAUGUAUGUCUGUCUGUCUGUAUGUAUGUAUGUAUGUAUGUAUGUAUGUAUGUAAACACAUAUACAUUGUGUGUUUAUGUGUAUAUAUAUAUAUAUAUAUAUAUAUAUAUAUAUGUAUAUAUUCUUCUCAAGACAAUGCGAUAUUAAUGCAUCGUGUAAUAAUAGUAAUACUUUUAAGGAGAAAUUCAAUAUUUAUUUAUUUGUUUUCUGUGUUGUUGUUGUUUUUGUUUUUUUUUACAGUUCUUUUGAAAUUCAGAAUAUAUAUAUUUUAUUAAUAAAUUAUCGAAAACGGGGAUUCCAGUUAUGUUUUCAGAACUCUAUACCUUAAAAACCUUAAAACAUUCUAUUCCCUACUUCCCUUUUCUCCGUUUUACUACAUUUUCUUUUUUUUUUUUUUUUUUUUGUUAUUUAUUUUAAUUUUUAAAACAUAGUUCUUCGCUCCACCCUGAGUUUUAGAAAGAAACUAAGCCCCCUCCCUUCCCCGCGCCGCCGCCGCCGUCUCCACUCUCUUUGCUAUAUAACACUGAAUGAAGACAGAGGGGGGGGGAGACAUUGAGAAACAUUGAAAUUUUGCUUUCUGUCGACAGCCGGUCAAAUUGCUUACCCCCACCGCUUCCCUCCCGCUCGCGAAUUUUAUAUAUUAUUUUAUUUUAUUUUAUUUUUUUUUUUUUUUAAUGUCUGUUUGUCUAUCUAUCUGUCUGUCUGCCUGUCUGUGUCUUUGCUGGCUGCAGGGGCCCCUCCCUAACUCCUUCCGUAACUCUCUCUCUCUCUCUCUCUCUCUGUCUUUCUCACUCCCGUUGUAUCUCUCAAUCUCUGUGUCUGUCUGCCUGCCUGUCUGUUUGUGUCUUUGCUGGCUGCAGGGGCCCCUCCCUAACCCCAUCCGUAACUCUCUUUUUUCUCUCUCCCUAUUAUCUUUCUCCAUCUCUCUAUGUCACUUUUUUCCUCUGUGUGUAUGUGUCUCUCUCUUUCUCUCUCUGUAUCUCUUUAUCUCUGUGUAUCUUCAUGCAUCUCUAUGUUUGUCUGUCAGCCUCUAUCUUUCUACGUAUCUCUCUCUCUCUCUCUCUUUCUUUCUCUCUCCCUUUUUCGACCCCUCAAAAAACUCCUUUAGCUUGCCUUGACAAACUUGACAAUGGCGGUAGCAGCAAGCCUCAUUCUCCCCUUCCUCGUACUACACACAUUUUACAAGCAGUUCUACAAGCAACCUAUUUUUCCCGCCUUCCUAAUAACAUCUUCUAAACACUUUAUUUAUUUAUUCAUUUAUACAUUUAUUUAUUUAUUCAUCUAUCAUUUACUUUUUUUUUAUUUCUGAAAUUUCUUUCUGUUUCUUUUUUUUCUUUUUCCAUUUUCAUUUUCAUCUUUUUCUCCCUACUCACUGCUUUCUACAAUCAAAUAUAUUCCAUUUCAGACUUGACUUCUUUAUUUCAAACCUUACCGAAAUUAAUUUCCCGUCUCAAAUCUACUCCAAACAACAUUUCUUUUUCAAACUUCAACUGUUUCUCUUCACAGCUCUCUUUAAUGCUUUGCAAUUACAGCUAUCUGUCAAAUAUUUUCCCUUUGUUUAUCAUUCUAAUGAAGUUUUGUUUUUCCUUUUCUGUCUUUCUUUAACACACACACACACACACACUCGAGGCUGAGUUCCAGCAUGGCCGCAGUCCAAUGACUGAAACAAGUAAAAGAUAAAAGAUAUACGUACAAAGCGGAGGAGUUGUAGCUUUUUUUUGUUUCACUAUUGUUUUCUUAGUUUAUCUUUAAUGAUGGUGGUCGCAAUCGUGUUGGGAGUUUAGCCCCGGGUCAGCCCUGAUCGAGCGGGCCCUAAUGAUUAAAGAAGGCCUCCUCAUUCUUUGCUAUGACCAUCUUUUCAUUGUUUUGUUUUUGUUUGCUUGUUCUUGUUAUUAUUUGCUUUUCAAAUGUAGCUUAUCUAGGACUGCGCUGUACAAUGUAUCCUUCCUUUCUUUCUUAGUACGGUUCCACUAUGAUUUGCGACAGAAAGAGAGAGAGAGAGAGAGAAGGGGGGGAGUUGGUUGCUAUUUCUAGCAUGUUCAGUGACUUCCUUAAAGGCUCCAUCACAGGCUGUGGCUAUAUUCUUUUGUUUCUUUAUAAAUACUGUAUUCAAAAGAUUGUAUAACAACUAGAUAUAUAUAUUUACUGAUAUUUCUCUUAUGUUUUCUUGCCUUUCGUUGUUUUGUAUUGUUUUCACGCAAGACGAAAAGGUUGUUGUUGUUGUUGUUUAAUAUCAUCAUCAUCAUCAUCGUCAUUAUCAUCAUCUUCAUCGUUGUCAUCAUCAUCAUCAUCAUCAUCAUCAUCAUCAUCAUCAUUAUUAUCAUUGUUAUUAAAUUGCUCUGUUGGAAAAAGCCAACUGCCUUUAGUAGCCACUUUUAAUUUCACAGCCCGCAUUACUUUUUCUUGUAUUUCUUUCUAUCUCUUAACAAUCUGGGUUACUUUUAAUUAUGGUAUGGCAUUAUCGCUGCUAUAUAACAGAGGGAGAAAGAGACAGAGAGAGAGAGAGAGGAUCACCAUUUUUCUUACAGUUGUAUAAACCAUCCCUAAUUACUUUUGCUCGGCAAGUCACAUUUGAACGUCUUCCGUUAAAAAUACUGAAAUUAAAACAAAAAGUAGAAGAAAACUGCAUGCUAUACCCUAUGUGAGUGAAUAUGGUGUUAUUUUAACCGAGGUCAGGCUAACCUGGUAUUGUCAUAGUGAGAAAACCUAUCGACUUAGUUCAGUUCUUGUUGUAGCUAGACUGGUGUGUGUCUGUGUGUUUGUGGUAACUUCUUUCUUCACAACACACAUUAUUAUUAUUAUUAUUAUUAUUGUUGUUGUUGUUGUUGCUUUGUUGACGGAAAUGAAGGAAAAUGAGCAAAGCAAAUUUUCCUAUUAACAUGAUGGCGAACACAGUAGCCACUUAAAAUGUCUUUCCAGUUAAACUGGUAAAUUUCUAUUGCAUUACGUAAUAAACUUAUUGAUUAAAGUAUUUCACCUCCUGAACAUUAUAUACAUCAUAUAUAUAUAUAUAUAUAUAUAUAUAUAUAUAUAUAUAUAUAUAUAUAUGCACACAGAGGCUCUCACAAAUAUCUGCAUGUAUCUUUUAUACUUGGAAUUUCUGGGCAAAUAUUUUCUUCCUAUUUUUUCGUUGUUUUUUUUCAUUUUUAGUUGAGUUUUUUGAUCCCAAAGUAAAAUUGAUGAUGGGAAUUUAAAAUAUUUCUUGUUUAAUUUAAUUUAAUUGAAUUUGUCAUUCCUGUUUUAUAAUAUUGUAUUGGGGGGUUUUUUUUUUAAAGAAAUUUUACACAAAAUCUCUUCUAGUUUUAUGAACUGCAGCAAUAAUUUUUUUUUUUUUAUCUAUUUAUUUACUUACCCGUUUAUUUAUUUAUUUUUAAUUGACUUCUGAAAGUUGAUGUCUAAGUUUUCCUAUCUGGAUAUUUCACUUCAUCUCUCUCUCUCUCUCUCUCUCUCUCUCUCUCUCUCUCUCUCUCUCUCUCUCUCUCUCUCUCUCUCUCACACACACACACACACACACACACACACACACAUUUAUUGGCUACUUUCUUCUCUUUGCUCUACAAUUAUGAUUAUUAAGGUAGUAUUUGGAUAUUUUGUUUAUAACAUCACCUGUUUGGAACUUCCGUAUAAAGUUUCAGCUCACACAUAGAACGCCAUCGGAUCAUCACUAUAGAUAAGUUUUUAUAUAGAAGUUUUGUUUGCUUUGAGUUUUUCUCUUUCAUCCCUCUCUUGGCAGCCUGCGUAUCUUUUCUCUAACUCUACUUUUACCUAUCUAUCUAUCUAUCUAUCUAUCUAUCUAUCUAUCUAUCUAUCUAUCUAUCUAUCUAUCUAUCUUUCUAUCUCAACAUCAUCAUCAUCAUCAUCGUUUAACGUCCGUUCUCCAUGCUAGCAUGGGUUGGACGGUUCGACCGGGGAUCUGGGAAGCCAGAAGGCUGCACCAGGCUCCGGUCUUAUCUACUACAGCUGGAUGCCCUUCCUAAUGCCAACCACUCCGUGAGUGUAGUGGGUGCUUUUUACGUGCCACCUGCACUGGUGCCAGGCGAGGCUGGCAUCGGCCACGGUCGGAUUGGUGCAUUUUACGUGCCACCGGCACGGAAGCCAGUCGAGGCGGCACUGGCUUCGGCCACGAUUCGGAUGGUGCCUUUUACGUGUCACCGACACGGAGGCCAUUAUUAUAUGUGCUGGUGGCACAUAAAGAGCAUCUUUUCAGCGUUGGGCCUCACAAGGGCAAUGAUGAAUGAUCGAGACCUUUGGCAUUAUUUUGUGCUUGCGAUGAAGAGCUAUCAAGCCAAAGCAUUUGUGUAGGUGCAGGAGUGGCUGUGUGGUAAGUAGGUUGCUUACCAACCACAUACUUCCGGGUUCAAUCCCACUGCGUGGCACCGUGGGCAUGUGUCUUCUGCUAUAGCUUCCGGCCGACCAAAGCCUUGUGAGUGGGUUUGAUAGACAGAAACUGAAAGAAGCUCAUUAUAUAUAUAUAUAUAUAUAUAUAUAUAUAUAUAUAUAUACACAUGUAUAUGUUUGUGUUUGUCCCCCCUACCAUCACCUGGCAACCGAUGUUAGUGUGUCUACAUCCCUAUAACUUAGUGGUUCGGCAAAAGAGAGCAAUAGAAAAAGUUCUGAGGUCAAUUUGUUCAAUUAAAGGCAGUGCUCCAGCAUGGCUGCAGUCAACAAAUAAAAGAGUAAAAGAGAUACUGGUGUCAAGCAAAUGGCACCUGUACCAGUGACACGUAAGAGCACCUAUUACACUCUUGGAGUGGUUGGUGUUAGGAGGAGCAUUCCAGCCGGGGAAACAGCACCAUAUCAGACUGGAGUCUGGUGCAGCCUUCCAGCUUACCAGCCCUGGUCAAACCGUCCAACCCCUGCCAGCAUGGACAACAGACAUUAAAUGAUGAUGAUGAUGAUGAUGAUGAGAUAGGUAGAUAGAUAUAUAUGUAUACACAUAUCUAUCUAUCUAUAUAUAUAUAUAUUCUGUUAUUCUUUUACUUAGUUCAAUCAUUUUGAUUGCAGCCAUGCUGGAGCACUGCCUUUAAUUGAACAAAUUGACCCCAGGACUUAUUCUUUGUAAGCUUAGUACUUAUUCUAUUGGGGUCUUUUGCCGAACUAAGUUACGGGGACGCAAACACACCUGCAUCAUUUGGCAAGCAAUGGCGGGGGGCAAACACAGACACACAAAUACAUAUUUAUAUAUAUAUAUACAUAUCUAAGUGUGUGUGUGUAUAUAUAUAUAUAUAUAUAUAUAUAUAUAUAUAUAUAUGUAUAUAAUAUAUAUAUAUAUAUAUAUAUAUAAUAUGUAUAUAAUAUAUAUAUAUUAAAUAUAGUAUAUAUAUAUAAUGAUGCGCUUCUUUCAGUUUCCAUCCACCAAACCCACUCACAAGGCUUUGGUCAACCCAAGGCUAUAGUACAAGACACUUGCCCAAGGUGGUACGCAGUGGGACUGAACCUGGAACCAUGUGGUUGGGAAGCAAGCUUCUUACCAUACAGCCACUCCUAUGCCUAUAUAUAUAUAUAUACAUACACAUACAUAUAUAGGUACACAUUACAUAUAUGCACACAUACGCAUAUAUAAUAUAUAUAUGGUGACAAAUUUAUAUAUAUAUAUAUAUACAUACAUACAUACAUACAUAUAUAUAUAUAUAUAUAUAUAUAUAUAUCAUGCACAUCCAUUCUUUCAUUCUUCAUGCAUAGAAUAUAUGACCUGCUGAUCCAGUUCUUAUCAUUGUUAUUGCGCUGUGUCCAUUGAUCAAAUCACUCAAUAUGGCCAAUUAUUCAGUCCCCCAAACUAAUUAAUUGGUUUUAUGGUAAUCUGGGUAUCUCAAGUGGACACUGGACUGAAGACCCUGUUCUCUGAGUUCAAAUCCCACCAACUAUGGCUUUGGUUUUCAUCCUUUCAGGGUCAAUAAAGUACCAGCCCUGUACUGGGGUCAAUUUUUCUUAAUCUUGCUCUCACUUUCUCUCUGGAAGAAAUUGGUUAUAUUCAGAUAUAGAAGGGGAAAGGUUCCAUCAGUUUUAAAAUCUCCAAGACAUACCAUACAUAUAUCGCAGUAGUGCUUCUAUGAUCUCCCACCCCAUUCCAUGAGUUGAGGGGCCCAAAAACGGAAGGAAGGAAGCAUGGUAGAUGUGACCAUUGUUAUCAGUAAGAACUCUGUAUGACUGAUUAUUUAGUUAGCUUGUAAAACUGAACUUAAGGCCCUGGUUACUAUAUUUCUGUUGAAAUUGUUUAAAUUAAUUUUUGAAAAUAGUAAAGAAUUUAAUUAAGUAACUUUGUCAUUGUCAAGUAGGUGUUUGGAACAUGAUUUAACCCUUUUGAAACCGCCCCUGGCUCUGUAGUACAAAUGUCUUGUUUUCAAAAGUUCUGAAUUAAAAUCUUCCACCAAACCUUAGUCACAAUUUAUGUUCCUAACACUAGCUUAAUGAUAAACUAAAUUAUUUUGCUAAUUCUUCGUUAUAUUUAAAAUUAAUUGAAAGAAACAAAGAGCAUCUCAACAGAAAUAUGGUAACAAAAGGGUUAACAUGAAAUUUUGAUGAAAGGCUUUUAGUUAGAUUGUUUUAAAACAUCAUAGAAUUAGGGGCAGUUUUAAGAGGGUUGGUAUCAAAGGGGUUAGCCCUUUGGUUAUCAUAUUUUUGUUGAAUUAUUCUGUCGUUGUUACAAUUAAUUUUGAAAAAAAUUAAGAAUUUAGUGAAAUAACUUUGUCAUAAUUAAUCUAGUGUUUGGAACAUAUAUUAACAUGAAAUUUUGCUGGAAGGUUGUAAUAUAGAUCAUUUUAAAACAGGAAUUUAGUCUCAUAGAACCAAGGUUGGUUUCAGGUGGAUUGGUAUGAAAGGGGUUAAAUACUUACUUACCCGCAGACAGAUUACAGAAUGAUUUUGUCUUUUGUAUUGUGUCCAAGCAGAUUAUGAAACUCUGGCCUAAUUUCAAAGCAUUAAAUCCUUACUUUCUUUUCUAAUCUGAGAUGUUAAUCAGAUGUCAUACUUCAUUAAUUUAAUUGUUAUAUUCAACACAUUACUUGAAUUUAUUGACAUCAGUAGUUCUGUGUGUAUAAAACACAUCAACAUUCUAGAAUUCUCACAAUGCAUUGUUGAGGUUUUACUGCAAUAUAGGGGCAUUGCCAUGGCAGUAGCUAGAGUCUGCCGGACUAGCUAUUUUGUAGAAUUUCGUUUCAUAUCCCUACAAUCUAUGUUCAAAUCUGACCUGGUUCAACUCUGUCAUUGAUAUAUCUAGGGAUGAUAAAUUAAGUACUUGGACACCAUCAGAAGGUGGAGUCAUUUUAACUGAUUAUACUUUCAUAUAAGAAAGCUGUGAUCUUGUAAUCGGUCUGAGAAAUAGUUAUUUUACUCAGAUAAAUCAAGUGCUGUUGAGCAAGAGCAAAUAGCAAUAGCUUUCUGAGUUUUAAAUUGAGUCUCAUUUAAUUCUUGAUCAAUGCUGACUCAUUUUAUUUGUAAUAUUAAUUGGUUCAAGAAAAGAAUGACGGUCACUGCAUGUAAUAACAAUGGCUGAUGUAGUUUCUUGUUUGAAAUUGACCCAUUUUAUUUAUGGGUCUUCAUUGCCUUAAGAAAAGUAUGAAUGCCACCUCAUCCUUCCUCUAAAAAUAAAGAGCCUGUGUGCUUAGCCAAACGAAACACAAAUACUUUUAUUGCACUGAAGCAAGGAUCACAGACAAGUUUGUGUCUAAGUUAUUAUCAUUUCCCAGUUUAACCAUUUAGCAUUUAACCCUUUCGUUACCAACCCGACUGAAACUGGCCCUGGCUCUGAGUGCAAAUGUCUUGUUUUCAUAAGUUUUGAACUAAAAUCUUCCACUAAACCUUAGUAACAAUUUACGUUCCUAACGGUAGCUGAAUGAUAACUAAGUUAUUUUACUAAAUUCUUUGUUAUAUUUAACGUAAUUAAAAGAAACACAGAGCAUCUCAAAAUAAAUACAGUAACAAAAGGGUUAAACCAGCCAUAUCUGGCCAAAAUAGUCACACUGUUUUAUAUUCAAACUGAACAGAUCCAACCUCUCACACCUAUCCUACAAUGUUAGUCUAAAAAAUAUACAGCCACAUUAUCUAAAUCUCAAGGCUACAAGAUAAUCCUGGAAAAAUUCAAAACAAUGGAAAUAAAUUAGCACUACAUUUAAUAGAGUAACCUGAAUGCUAAACGGUUAAGCCAUUUCUUUCUACUCGAACUGCAUAUGGUUCUUGGAUCUCAUAUAAUUUUAUAAUCUCUGUGCUUCCUAAAAUUGUGAUUAUGUUUUCAGAUUAUUCUGUUAAAUGUAAUGCUUGUUUAUUCACACUGCUUUGAAUAAUUAAUCUUGCAUUAUCUCGUAGCUUUUAGAUUAAUAUAAUAUGAUUGUUUAUUUUUAGGAUAGUUGUGAGAGGUCUGAUCUGGUUUGUUUGAACGUAAAACAAGCAGAAUAUUUGGGUUGGAUAUGGUCCUUUUAAAUGCUAAAGAGUUAAUUUGUUUUUACACUAGUUUCAUCAACUGUGUUUCUUCUCAAGAGUGUGUCAUUAUUUUAUAUUAAUAUUAGGUCUUUGGGAGUAGAUUUAGUAGAUGGAAACUGAAAGAAACCAGUCAUAAGUAUAUAUAUAUAUAAAUAAUGAGGGAGAUAAAUUUAAUAUUAAUUUAAUUAAUAUCAAUUUAAAACCAGUAGCCUAGCAUACAAAAAUCUGAAAAAUCAGAAAAUUCUAAUACAUGUGUAUAUUUAAAGGGCAGAACCACUAGGUGAUCUACUUCUACCAUACGGCCGACCACCUAGUGGUUCUGCCCUUUAAAUAUACACAUUUAUUAUAUAUAUAUAUAUUGCCCCAGCAUGGCCACAGCUCGAGAGCUGAAACUGGAAAGCAUAAACAUAAACAUAUAUAAGUUGAAGUGUAUUUUGUUUAGGACUUAUUAGAGUACAAAAUAGAGCUCGUUUACCCUUAGAAUUAUCAGAUAGCUGGCAGUAUUAUGGUAUACUACCAAUUCUAGGUAUUCUUCGUGUGUGAAAAAUAAAAAGGAAAGAAUAAAUAUAGUCAAAUAUAUAUAUGGAUCUAUGUUGUAUCGAAACAUGUGUAGAAAUCAUUAAACAGCUGUCGAAUCGUACACCUUCUUUCUUUUGACUCUAUUUAUUCUUUCCUUUAUAUACACACACACACACACACACACACACAUAUAUAUAUAUAUAUAUAUAUAUGGAUUUGUGUCUGUGUUUGUCCCCUAACACCACUUGGUAACCAGUGUUGCUGUGUUUACAUACCCGUAACUUAGCAGUUCGGCAAUAAGGGCUGAUAGAAUAAGUACUG